UACGGAGGGGGCUAGCGUUGUUCGGAAUUACUGGGCGUAAAGCGCACGUAGGCGGCUUUGUAAGUUAGAGGUGAAAGCCCGGAGCUCAACUCCGGAAUUGCCUUUAAGACUGCAUCGCUUGAAUCAUGGAGAGGUGAGUGGAAUUCCGAGUGUAGAGGUGAAAUUCGUAGAUAUUCGGAAGAACACCAGUGGCGAAGGCGACUCACUGGACAUGUAUUGACGCUGAGGUGCAAAAGCGUGGGGAGCAAACAGG
rnacentral:rRNA from 1 species